rnacentral:lncRNA from 1 species
UUUCCCGUUGCAGCAGGACUCAUACCCUCAGACGACAUGAACAGUAGCUGACUGAAGACAGACAGCGAGACAUACCAAAGACAAUUCCAAUAAACAGAAUGUUUUUGAGACACCACAGGGGCUUUCAAAUGUCAGAAAUACCUGGUUAAUAAGAAAGUCACCUGAACCUGAACAAAACAUAUCUUUUCAUCUGCAGGGGUUCAGUCACUAUAUAUAACACAAUGACCAAUUUUUAAUGCAUUUAAAGUCUUUCUAAUUCAGUUUGACCUCCUAAAUCUUCACAGCUUUCACACCUCAGGUUAAAACCUUUAAGUAAUAUAGGCUCUUGUGUGCUUAAUAGAAUGACUGAGCAAAAUAUCCUCAUGAAGUAAUAUGAUAUUGUGAAACUGAGACCAAGCAGCAGCCUCCAAUUUUAAAAAAUGAUGCAAAGCUGUAUUACUUAAAGCUGCACUUCCUCUUAUGUCCACUUGAGGCUGGAUCCAAAAGCCCUGUGAACCACAUACACACCCAUUCUUGGACAAAAAGCGCAACAUGUUCACAGCAUGGUGUGAGUAGCUCAUUUCUCUAUAAACUGUAUGGGAGGAGAAUUUUUGUAGCGAAUUAUUUUUGAAGACAUAACGGUUAUGAGUUUAGCCCAGAGGCUAAAGGCCCACAUAAAAAAGGACUCCACAGAGGGAUAGCACCGUGCCAUAAAUAGAGCCGAUGAGGGCGGGUGGAACAGUGCUGUGUAUGUAUGUGUGUGUCUGAGUGUGCUUGUCAUGUGUUUACACAGGGACAGUUGUUUGAGGUGCAAUGAUGGCAGAACUUCAUUAAUACUGUUGCGAAUUUGCUAAGAGGCCAGUGCCUACAGUCAAAACAUCAUAUUCCCCUUCCUUUUAACAAUCACAUGUUGUCUUUCAUAUUCAUAUGUUUCAUCUGGAUCUGCCUUCCCUGUCUUUCCCAUCUCUUUUUGUUGUGUUUUGAGGGACCUUUGGGAGCCAUUUAGUUGGACAGGUUGUAUCAAUGCUGCCACUACUUGGAGCUUGCACAAAUGGAGCCUGGAUCUGUUGAGUGUUACAGUGCUGUAUGGGUUGUCUUGUGAUGCAAGGAGGUUCUGCUUGUGAGCAUAAUAGGCUGUAGGAGCUGGCAUGAAGGGAUGAGAUAACUAUUUAAGCUUCCCUGAGGUGUUGGGGAGUGGGCCUCACUUGAUGAAAUGUUGGUGAUAAGAGGCUACCUCUGGAUAAUCACAGUGAGGUACAGGCUCCAGCUGCCCAUCUGUCUCCUAUCUCAGAUUGUGGGACAUUAGGAGUUGGGUGACCAUAUUCUGAAUCCUCACAAAGAGGACACUACUACGUGAGGCGGAGUCACAGAGUCAUGUAGUAAAUUUUGAGAGCUUUUCGGGUCGGGUCGAGUGUUUUUUACACGCUUCUGACUCAGUAUGUCCAAACGACACAAACUCAAAACUUCCAUAAGGAUUUUAUAAACUCCCCGUAUCGACGUAUGGUCACCCUAAUAAGAAGCCAUGAGGUAGGCUACACAUAUAGAAAAUAUUGGUAUGAGAGCAUGUUAGGAUGAAUUUCUUCAUUAAGUGCUUAUCCUUUUUAUCAAAGCAGGUGGCUAGUGUUUGUUUUAGAUGUGAAUGCUGAUAUUUUGGUUGGGUCAAUAGCAUCUAGGGUGGAGGCAGAUCUAGACAUCUGUGUUCGAGAGGAAAUGCUCUGUCAGUGUUGUUGUUGUUGAAGUUUCCACAACUGAAAAGUUCAUCUUGGAUUUUCAUAUAACAGCUGUUCUGUGGGUGUGGUUUUUCAGCAGGCUCCAUGGGGGGUAGAUGCUUGGAUGACUGACAGAAGCCCAAGAAAUUAACAGAAAUAUCGCAGUAACAAAAUGUGACCUUUUUUCCGUUGGGUUCAAAACUCCUGGCAGUAGCCCUGUAUUCAUUGCCAAACCCUCUUAAGUGUUGGUAAGACUCAGAGGAUCUUUUAGUAACACUUGAGUGCAUCAUUUAAAUUUAUGAAUAUAACACGACUGCUUAUCAGAAGUAGAAAAAACAUAGCUUUGGCUCCUGGCACUAUAUAUUACUGCUUCCUAUGGCUCCCUCUCCCCUGCAGAAACCCUGUCAUCACUUUAUCUGGACUCAGCUGUUUUCUCACUCUGCCUCCCAGUGUAAUGACCUUUCUCCUCCAGCCAGAACACAAGAGUCACUCCCUUUUUUUCCCCAUUGUAGGCUGAAAACUCAUCUCAUCAGGAGAGAUGUCAUGUCACCCACUCAGCUUCCUUUCUGCUGUGUCUUCCUC